rnacentral:lncRNA from 1 species
UUCCGAUUGAACCUUCACUUAGUGAAAACAUAUUAAAGUUAAUCGAAAUUGCAUGGUAGACUAUGCUUUGAACCAGCUAUUCCAUUUGGUUAACCGAAUACAUCUCACACAAUGAUUUCAAUACCAAUGAAUGCACAGUAUCUGACGAUGCUUUUAUGGCCAUGAGUCUGUAUCUUCUUUUCAUGAGUGCUGUUAGAGCCAAGCUCUUGAACUCCUAGAAGCGGCCACACUUCACACUCACAUAGGUAGAUCCCAUGAAUGCCCCCGUAACUAAAACAUUCUAACAAAUUAUGUUAUGGGUC